rnacentral:rRNA from 1 species
CAAGCCAUUGAUCGGUACGGGUUGUGAGAGCAAGAGCCCGGAGAUGGAUUCUGAGACACGAAUCCAGGCCCUACGGGGCGCAGCAGGCGCGAAAACUUUACAAUGCGAGAAAUCGUGAUAAGGGAACCCCGAGUGCCCGUAAAUUCGGGCUGUCCGCCAGUGUAAAUAACUGGUGAAGAAAGGGCCGGGCAAGACCGGUGCCAGCCGCCGCGGUAAUACCGGCGGCUCGAGUGGUGGCCACUAUUACUGGGCUUAAAGCGUCCGUAGCUGGAUUGUUAAGUCUCUUGGGAAAUCCAUCGGCUCAACCGAUGGGCGUUCAGGAGAAACUGGCAAUCUAGGGACCGGGAGAGGUGAGAGGUACUCCAGGGGUAGGAGUGAAAUCCUGUAAUCCUUGGGGGACCACCUGUGGCGAAGGCGUCUCACUAGAACGGCUCCGACAGUGAGGGACGAAAGCUGGGGGAGCAAACCGGAUUAGAUACCCGGGUAGUCCCAGCUGUAAACGAUGCGCGUUAGGUGUAUCGGUGACCACGAGUCAUCGAGGUGCCGAAGGGAAACCGUGAAACGUGCCGCCUGGGAAGUACGGUCGCAAGGCUGAAACU